UAUCUAUUAUCAUCCAUUAAAAAGAAGAAAAAAAAGAUAGUGAAUGUGGUGUCAAAAAAGGUGUAAACUACACACUUUGCAGCACUUUCCUGCCCUUGAAUUUGAUGUCUUUGGUGGAAGAGCUGUGUAAGUAACAGUU